rnacentral:rRNA from 1 species
GCAAGUCGAACGAACCUUCGGGUUAGUGGCGGACGGGUGAGUAACGCGUGGGAAUCUGCCCUCAGGAGGGGGAUAACGGUUGGAAACGACCGCUCAUACCCCAUAUGCCGAUAGGUGAAAUGAAUUUCGCCUGAGGAUGAGCCCGCGUCUGAUUAGCUAGUUGGUAAGGUAAAGGCUUACCAAGGCUUCGAUCAGUAGCUGGUCUGAGAGGAUGAUCAGCCACACUGGGACUGAGACACGGCCCAGACUCCUACGGGAGGCAGCAGUGGGGAAUUUUCCGCAAUGGGCGAAAGCCUGACGGAGCAACGCCGCGUGAGGGACGAAGGCCUCUGGGCUGUAAACCUCUUUUCUCAAGGAAGAAGAUAUGACGGUACUUGAGGAAUAAGCCACGGCUAAUUCCGUGCCAGCAGCCGCGGUAAUACGGGAGUGGCAAGCGUUAUCCGGAAUUAUUGGGCGUAAAGCGUCCGCAGGCGGCCUUUCAAGUCUGCUGUUAAAGCGUGGAGCUUAACUCCAUCAUGGCAGUGGAAACUGAUAGGCUUGAGUAU